rnacentral:rRNA from 1 species
AUUGAACGCUGGCGGCAUGCUUUACACAUGCAAGUCGAACGGCAGCGCGGGCUUCGGCCUGGCGGCGAGUGGCGAACGGGUGGGUAAUACAUCGGAACGUGCCCAGUAGUGGGGGAUAGCUCGGCGAAAGCCGGAUUAAUACCGCAUACGACCUGAGGGUGAAAGCGGGGGAUCUUCGGACCUCGCGCUAUUGGAGCGGCCGAUGGCAGAUUAGCUAGUUGGUGGGGUAAAGGCCUACCAAGGCGACGAUCUGUAGCUGGUCUGAGAGGACGACCAGCCACACUGGGACUGAGACACGGCCCAGACUCCUACGGGAGGCAGCAGUGGGGAAUUUUGGACAAUGGGCGAAAGCCUGAUCCAGCAAUGCCGCGUGUGUGAUGAAGGCCUUCGGGUUGUAAAGCACUUUUGGCGGGAACGAAAAGGACUGUGCCAAUACCACGGCUCGAUGACGGUACCCGCAGAAUAAGCACCGGCUAACUACGUG